GAUGAACGCUGGCGGCGUGCCUAAUACAUGCAAGUCGAGCGAACAGACGAGGAGCUUGCUCCUCUGACGUUAGCGGCGGACGGGUGAGUAACACGUGGAUAACCUACCUAUAAGACUGGGAUAACUUCGGGAAACCGGAGCUAAUACCGGAUAAUAUAUUGAACCGCAGGGUUCAAUAGUGAAAGACGGUUUUGCUGUCACUUAUAGAUGGAUCCGCGCCGCAUUAGCUAGUUGGUAAGGUAACGGCUUACCAAGGCAACGAUGCGUAGCCGACCUGAGAGGGUGAUCGGCCACACUGGAACUGAGACACGGUCAAGACUCCUACGGGAGGCAGCAGUCGGGAAUCUGCCGCAAUGGGCGAGAGCCUGACGGAGCAACGCCGCGUGAGUGAUGAAGGUCUUCGGAUCGUAAAGCUCUGUUAUUAGUGAAAAACAAAUGUGUAAGUAACUAUGCACGUCUUGACGGUACCUAAUCAGAAAGCCACGGCUAACUACGUG
rnacentral:rRNA from 1 species